AGUGAACGCUGGCGGUAGGCCUAACGCAUGCAAGUCGAACGGCAGCACAGUAAGAGCUUGCUCUUACGGGUGGCGAGUGGCGGACGGGUGAGGAAUACAUCGGAAUCUACUUUUUCGUGGGGGAUAACGUAGGGAAACUUACGCUAAUACCGCAUACGACCUACGGGUGAAAGCAGGGGAUCUUCGGACCUUGCGCGAUUGAAUGAGCCGAUGUCGGAUUAGCUAGUUGGCGGGGUAAAGGCCCACCAAGGCGACGAUCCGUAGCUGGUCUGAGAGGAUGAUCAGCCACACUGGAACUGAGACGCGGUCCAGACUCCUACGGGAGGCAGCAGUGGGGAAUAUUGGACAAUGGGCGCAAGCCUGAUCCAGCCAUACCGCGUGGGUGAAGAAGGCCUUCGGGUUGUAAAGCCCUUUUGUUGGGAAAGAAAAGCAGCAGGUUAAUACCCCGCUGUUCUGACGGUACCCAAAGAAUAAGCACCGGCUAACUUCGUG
rnacentral:rRNA from 1 species